UGUUACACAAGAGCCGGAGUCUCUUGCAUUAUUCCAAUGUUGAGAGGCAGCUUAGCUCACAGGACAUACAGAGAUUUGCUCAUUUGCUGUGUUGAUUCAGAGUUGAAUACUGUGGUGGAUUGUCCUCUGACUUCUUGUGUCAAAGUUUGGUCUCUGAAGGGCUCUAGCAGGCCUGAGAAUGGUCAGCACAGUCCUGACUCUGGCAAACUUGUUUCAGACAGGGAAGAGACUUGUGGAGACCUGCCCCACCAGGAACUUAGGUCCCCUGUGAAGAGGUGGCCUGGAACUGAGGAAAGGAAAGAGAAGUCUGGACCCCAGCCCAAGAAUAAAACUUUUGAUUAACAAUCUGUCCAUCCUGCAAGAUUGAUACCUUUUCCAGUCUCAUCAUAGAGGCUUCCUCUGGCAGCAGAUGGGAGCAGGAGCAGAGAUCCCCAGCAAGACAUUACGUGUGCAGUCUAAUUGGAAGGUCUUUCUCAGGUGCCUCUUACUGGAGCUGGAGGAAUCCUGCAGAAGAGGGGGCACAGAAGGUUUCUAGAAGUCAGAUGGGAUGGAGGACACCAGAACAUGGCCCAUUGAAUCAACUAAUCAGGGCACAUAUGUGCUCAUGGAGAUUGAGGUGGCAAUUAAGGUAUCUGAAUGGGUCUGUACUAAGUUCUCUGCCUAUAUGUUGUGGCUAUUAGCUGGUUUUCUUGUGUGACUCCUAACUCUUGAGUCUUUUACCUGCUCUUAUAGCUCAUUCCCUCCUGUUGGGUUGCCUUAUCCAGCUUCAGUGUGAGGGCUCUUGCCUUUCCUUAUUAUACUUUGUUUUGUCGUCUUUGGUUUCUGUCUGUUGUAGGCCUGUCCAUUUCUGAUGGGAGACAGAGGGGAAGUGGAUCUGAGGAA